rnacentral:rRNA from 1 species
AGUGGGGAAUAUUGCGCAAUGGAGGAAACUCUGACGCAGCCAUGCCGCGUGAGUGAAGAAGGCCCUAGGGUUGUAAAACUCUUUCAGACGUGAUGAUGAUGACAGUAGCGUCAAAAGAAGUUCCGGCUAACUUCGUGCCAGCAGCCGCGGUAAUACGAAGGGAACUAGCGUUGUUCGGAUUUACUGGGCGUAAAGAGCAUGUAGGCGGAUUGGUCAGUUGGAGGUGAAAUCCCGGAGCUCAACUCCGGAACUGCCUUCAAUACUGCCAGUCUAGAAUCUGUAAGGGGGUGGUGGAAUUCCGAGUGUAGAGGUGAAAUUCGUAGAUAUUCGGAGGAACACCAGUGGCGAAGGCGACCACCUGGUACAGUAUUGACGCUGAGAUGCAAAAGCGUGGGGAGCAAA